rnacentral:rRNA from 1 species
UGGCGGCGUGCCUAAUACAUGCAAGUCGAACGGUCUUUCUAUGGAAGCUUGCUCCACUGAGAAGAUAGUGGCGAACGGGUGAGUAACACGUGGGUAACCUGCCCAUAAGAGGGGGAGUAACAUCCGGAAACGGGUGCUAAUACCGCAUAGUUUUCUUGAUCGCAUGAUUGAGAAAGGAAAGACGGCCUUUGUGCUGUCGCUUAUGGAUGGACCCGCGGCGUAUUAGUUAGUUGGUGAGGUAACGGCUCACCAAGACGAUGAUACGUAGCCGACCUGAGAGGGUGAUCGGCCACAUUGGGACUGAGACACGGCCCAAACUCCUACGGGAGGCAGCAGUAGGGAAUCUUCCGCAAUGGACGAAAGUCUGACGGAGCAACGCCGCGUGAGUGAAAGAAGGUUUUCGGAUCGUAAAACUCUGUUGUCAGAGAAGAACAAGUUGGAGAGUAACUGCUCCAGCCUUGACGGUAUCUGACCAGAAAGCCACGGCUAACUACGUGCCAGCCGCCGC